UACGGGGGGAGCAAGCGUUGUUCGGAUUUACUGGGCGUAAAGGGCGCGUAGGCGGCCACGACAAGUCACUUGUGAAAUCUCCGGGCUUAACUCGGAAUGGUCAAGUGAUACUGUCGGGCUAGAGUGCAGAAGGGGCAACUGGAAUUCUCGGUGUAGCGGUGAAAUGCGUAGAUAUCGAGAGGAACACCUGCGGCGAAGGCGGGUUGCUGGGCUGACACUGACGCUGAGGCGCGAAAGCCAGGGGAGCGAACGGG
rnacentral:rRNA from 1 species